GGGCCUGUAGCUCAAUUGGGAGAGCGCUGCAUUCGCAUUGCAGAGGUCGUGGGUUCGAAUCCCAUCAGGUCCACCA
rnacentral:tRNA from 1 species